rnacentral:sRNA from 1 species
AAUAAAGUGUAAUAUACCUUUUCAAUUUGUAUUCUUUAACUAAUUUAAGCUAACUAAUAUAUUUGCUAAUCUUAUACCUAUCAAAACCGACUAUCGUUUCUUAUCUCUAUAGCAUUUUUGCAAGGCUUUUUUUGGUGGAUUUGGGUAAAAGUGCAUUCGGGUCAUAUGGUACAUUCCCUUAAGAGUACAUUAGCUAAAAUGUUUAGAUUAUAAUUCAGAGUCAUAUCAUAAAUAAAAUUAAUAUUAAUAAAAUAAAUGACUUUUUGGCAAGACGGAUUUGGUGGGACGGAUUUUUGAAUCAACAUUAAUAAAAAAAGUAAAAUAAAAUUAAUCCACCGUUUCAAUACGGGUUAAAUCUUGAUUUU